rnacentral:misc_RNA from 1 species
AACGCAUAUUGCACUUUCUGGUAUUCCGGAAAGUAUGCCUGUUUGAGGGUCAGUUAAAUAAAAAUCGGUGUUGUUGCUGCCUUUCGUGGUGACGCGUCGGAGUUGAGUCGUCUUAUCUUCGGUUAAGUGACUUAAAAUUUUGCAUGAUUUUCGAACGUAUUUAAAUUUUUUUUGUACGUUUGAGAUAUCGAAUAUUUUAUUAGGUUCGGUUAUCCUCAUGACUCGCGCCUAUAAUUUUCAUUAAAUGACCUCAAAUCAGGUAAGAAUACCCGCUGAACUUAA